AGAGACCGGCGCACGGGUGCGUAACGCGUAUGCAAUCUACCUUUUACAGAGGGAUAGCCCAGAGAAAUUUGGAUUAAUACCUCAUAGUAUAGAGACUCGGCAUCGAGAUACUAUUAAAGUCACAACGGUAAAAGAUGAGCAUGCGUCCCAUUAGCUAGUUGGUAAGGUAACGGCUUACCAAGGCUACGAUGGGUAGGGGUCCUGAGAGGGAGAUCCCCCACACUGGUACUGAGACACGGACCAGACUCCUACGGGAGGCAGCAGUGAGGAAUAUUGGACAAUGGGCGCAAGCCUGAUCCAGCCAUGCCGCGUGCAGGAUGACGGUCCUAUGGAUUGUAAACUGCUUUUGUACGAGAAGAAACACUCCUUCGUGAAGGAGCUUGACGGUAUCGUAAGAAUAAGGAUCGGCUAACUCCGUGCCAGCAGCCGCGGUAAUACGGAGGAUCCAAGCGUUAUCCGGAAUCAUUGGGUUUAAAGGGUCCGUAGGCGGUUUAGUAAGUCAGUGGUGAAAGCCCAUCGCUCAACGGUGGAACGGCCAUUGAUACUGCUAAACUUGAAUUAUUAGGAAGUAACUAGAAUAUGUAGUGUAGCGGUGAAAUGCUUAGAGAUUACAUGGAAUACCAAUUGCGAAGGCAGGUUACUACUAAUGGAUUGACGCUGAUGGACGAAAGCGUGGGUAGCGAACAGGAUUAGAUACCCUGGUAGUCCACGCCGUAAACGAUGGAUACUAGCUGUUGGGCGCAAGUUCAGUGGCUA
rnacentral:rRNA from 1 species